AAAAAAUUAAUGAAAAUAUUUUUCUUCAAGCAGAGCCAUUAGCCUUUCCGAAUUAUUUGAAUAAAUAUUAAUUCCAAAAAGGAAACUAACAUUUGUUCAGAAAAUUUUGUCCGAAUCAAAAUCUCUUAGGUGGUGAAAUUCUUAGUUGAAAAAUUGUCCCAAUGUUCCUUAGCAAAAUGGUCAGUGGGUUGCUGAAUACCAACAAAAACCAACAAAAUUCCAAUAUAAAUCAGCCUCCCUCCACGACACAAUCUGUGACUCAAUCCCAUUCCAAUCAGAAUGGCUCACAGAGGAAAUCCCACAAGAAAUCGGAUAAAAGACGCAAGCCAAAACCCAAAAAGGCCUUGACAGAUCUAUUGAAGCCUUUAUCCAAAAAUUCUAUUACAAAUGAUUUGCCUCAAACUUCGAAGGGUGAUGGCAGAGGUCCCGCACCCAUUAGGGAAAUCUUUUCCCCCAGCACCAAUAAAGUCAAAUCAGCCAGCUGGAAACGAUCCGACAGAUCUGCGGCCUUUGCCAACAAGAAAAGCAAAGUUUCGCGAAAACAUUCCCCCAAUUGGUUAAAAAUCAAUUGUGUGUCGGAAAAGGUGGACGAAACCUAUAGCAACAAAACUAUGGAUUCGGCUUGCCGUCCCGGGACCUUAUACUCAGAUGUUGUCUUUGGGGCUGGGGGUACAGCGAAUUUAGUUAAUAUUCGAACCGCUGCUAGUGAGGGACCAAGUGCCCAACAAAAACUUACCGAGGCUCUGCUGAAAUGUUCACUGGCUACCAAGGGAAAUCCAAAUGAUUCCACUCGUAUUGAUCAUGAAAUGGACAAUCAAAAUACAAUUUUUCAAACUCUCUUCAAUUUUGAGGGCAACCCAAUGGGCAAUCAGGAUUCUCCAAUCCAAACCCUUGAAAUUCCGUCUGAACCAAAUUUCAUAACCAAAGAAGUGGAAGAAGAAGUCUGCAUCUGUGAAUCCACACCCAACAGUUGCAGUUCCGCCUUUGAGAAGUCUCUCAACACCACCCCCUAUGACGAAGCCGAUGUUGUGGUUUUGGAAGAACAUAAAGGGAAUGAUCACUGCUCCCAUUCCCCCAUUUCUUAUGGCAACUAUUUGGAGCAGCAACAACAACAAUUUCAUGAAUCCACCACUUCAAACAUUGUUAACCGCCAGCCAAGGAAAUUCAUCAUCAACAUACCCCAAUGGAAUUUCACUGAACCCGAUUUCAGUCCCCUGGGUUUUCCGAAAUUUUUGUGUCAUUUCGACGAUGAGACCUAUUUGCAAGCUGAAAAUUUGGCAAUGUUGAGUUUUAAUUUGGCCAUGGGAAAUCGCACGGCUCCGGGUGCAUUCAAGCUAUAAAGGUUCGUUAAUGGAUUCCAUAAAAUGUUUGAAUAUCAUUAUAUGUUUUUAAUUGAGGCAGGAGAUAUUGGUAAGGGGAAAUGGGAAAAGAUUUAUUUGAGGAGAGAAUAUUUGAAACAAAUGACAAUUUCUCAUUAGAGGAAUGUAAAAUGUCUUAUUCUGUUCACCCAUGACCAAGGAAGGUCCAAUAAAACAGCGUCUAAAAAUGUGAAAUGUUUUCUAUCAAGACAAGAUAUGUGGGGGAGGGAGAGAGCGAGAGUAAAAUUACAACUUCCGAAUAAUGAGCAUUUGGACCAACAAAUGUGGAUUUUUUAAAGAAUAUUUUUUCCCAAGGAUCAACAAACGUGGAUUUUGUAAAGAACGUUUUUCCAAAGGACUAACAGACGUGAACUUUUUAAAAAAAUGUUUUCCUCAAGGACCAACAAACGUGGAUAUUUUAAGGAAUAUUUUCCCAAGGACCAACAGAAGUGAAUUUUUUAAAGAAAAUUUUUUCUCAAGGACUAACAAACGUGGAUUUUUUAAAGAAUAUUUAACCACGGAUCAACAAACGUGGAUUUUUUAAGGAUAUUUUUCCAAGGAUAAACAAACGUGGAUUUUGUAAAGAACGUUUUUCCCAAGGACCAACAAACGUGGAAUUUUUAAAGAAUAUUUUUCCAAAGGACCAAAAAAACGGGGAUGUUUAAAGAAUAUUUUUCCCAAAGAUCAAUAAAUGUGAAUUUUUUAAAGGAUAUUUUCGAAAGAAUCAGCAGACGGGGAUUUUUUAAGAAUAUUUCUCUCAAGGAUCAACAAACGUGGAUUUUUCAAGGAUUUUUCCUAAGGUCCAAUGAACGUCGAUUUUUCAAAAUAAUGUUUUUCCAAGGGACCAACAAAUGUGGAUCUUUUUAAAUAAUAUUUUCCCAAGGAUCAAUAAACGUGAAUUUUUUAAAGGAUAUUUUCCCAAGAAUCAACAAACGGGGAUUUUUUUAAAGAUUAUUUUUCUCAAGGAUCAACAAACGUGGAUUUUUCAAGGAUUUUUCCCUAAGGACCGAUGGACGUCUAUUUUUCAAAAUAACGUUUUCCAAGGGACCAACAAAUGUGGAUAUUAUAAAGAAUAUUUUUUCCCAUUUUUUUAAAUGUGAUUUUUUUAAAAUAAAAUUUUUCCCAAGGAUCAAUAAACGUGAAUAUUUCAAAGAAUAUUUUCCCAAGAAUCAACAAACGGGGAUUUUUUAAAGAAUAUUUUUCUCAAGGAUCAACAAACGUGGAUUUUUUCCUAAGGACCAAUGGACGUCUAUUUUUCAAAAUAAUGUUUUUCCAAGGCACCAACAAAUGUGGAUUUUUUAAGGAUAUUUUUUCCUAAGGACCAGGAAACGUGAAUUUUUCAAAAGGAUAUUUUUCCUAAGGACGGGGAAACGUGGAUGUUUCAAAAGAAUAUUUUUCCCAAGAAUCGACAAACGGGUAUUUUCAAAAGAUUAUUUUUCCAAAUUGCUCACAAAAGCCGAAAUUAGUUCCAGAUUCUCUUUAAAUUUCAUGCAUUUCGAUAUUUUUUACUAACGCAAGUGUCUCAAUUUUUGAAUACCUAUAUAUCUAAAAACUUACGAAACAAGUCUUCUAUUCUUUUCAAACAUCAACAUCAACCAGCGAUCUGAUGUGAAUAUGGAAUUUAUCGGUCUACUCCUUCUCGAACCUCUCCAGUAUAGGUUAAAAUUUUGAUUUAUUACUACGAAAUAAACAAUAUUAGACCUCUCUCUCACCUCCAAAAAUUAUUCAAGGUUUGAAAAAUUCGAACGCAACUCCAAAUAUAUUUAAAUAAACCGACAGAGGGUGUUCAUCAGUCACCAAGACCGACUGAUACUUUUUAACCAGGUUUGAAACUUUAAGGAGAUGGCAAAUAAUACAAUUUUAUUUAAUAAUAGAAAAAAACUCAAAAUACCUCAUCGUCCCUGUUCUAUAAAAAAAGAAAACAAAAACACUGUGCUUCAUACUUUUGCACCCCACUGUAAUAUGUUUUAAAUUCCUUUCCCCAACCUUUUUAUUAUGGUUUAAAACAAAAACCUUAUUUUGUAUACAUUUCCCAUUGCGUCAAACCAAUAACAAAAUAAACUGUACUCUUUAUAAACAAUGCGACUCUUAAACCAGUUUUAAAUCUCUUGUAUCACUUACUCUCUCCAUGUGAUUUUCCUGCGUUAUCAUCACCCCCAUUAAAUGAGAGAGAUAUAGAGAGAAAGUUGAGUAACUCUCUUUUCCAGUAUCCACAAUUUGUGGCACAAAGCAAACACUGCAUGUGGAAUUUGCAUUGAGUGAGAGGGAGAGAGAACUGGAAUCCAAUACCCAACAACAGCAAGAAAUAAACAAAGCCAAGUAAUGAGCAUGAAAUGGUACUCAAACACAAUACACUCUGGCUCUCCUUUAAACCCCCACAUAAAUAAACUCCACAAACUCGCACACACACCCAAUGAGCAGCCCAUCCAUCCAGCCAGCCAGCAAGCCAGAAUAAUGUGUGGCGCAAACAAUGAGUGCUAGUCCAUAAAGUGAGUGCUUGCGAACAAGUUGAGUCGUACGGAACGUCAGUUAAUCUUUUUAACGGAAGAACGAAAGCGGGUUGAAUUUCAAAACAAGAAAGAAGAAGAAUAAGAAAAAAAAAAAAACAUACAGCCAUCAUCAUAAAACACACACACGCACGGGGCGCAUACCCACACAAGAAACAGAAGAAAACAAAAACACGAAACGAAAAGGAGAAUACAGUAUUUUUUCUGGCUGUCUGUCUGUCUGUCGGUCGGUCUGCCUGUUUGGUUUUCAAAAGUAUUUUGUAUGUGUACUCGAAUAACUAGCAACAACAACAACAGCAGCAGCAACAUCAUCUUCAUCAUCAUCCUCACUACGACGUUGUGUUUGUUGUAGAUAAAUGUGUUGGGAAGAAUUACAAGUGAGAGGGUAAAGACGACGAACGUCUCGUUUCACAAAAUAAAAACCAAGAAAAAAAAUUGUGGAGUUUUUGGAGAAUUAAAUAAAAAAGUGUUUCAAUAUUAUUUAAAAUUUGAAGUGUCGCAAAAAAUUUAAAAUUGCAAAAAGCUGAUAGUAAAGAAUUUAAAAAUUUACAUAAAAUUCUGAAAAAAUAUUAGAAAAUUGCAAAAUUCAUUGCCCCCACUCAAAAAUAUAGUUGCUUGUGAUUGUAUGUGUGGGCUUGUGUCAAUGUAAACAUCAAGUGCAAAAUAUAGAGAAAGAAAAAACAAAAGCAAAUAUAAAAAAGCCAAACCACGCCGCCGCUGUUGUUUAAUGUUUUCCUAAAAUCCACCGAUAAUUAGUUAAAAAAAAUCAGAAAAAAGAAGAAGCAGCACCAGAGAAGCCGCACUUUAUUUGGCAGCAUUUUUGUUAUUUCCCUACGUUUCCUCUAUUGAAACUCGCCGCAUUCGUGUUUGUCGCGACCGGUCGUUUCAUGUCCGCGUUACAUUGCCUUUCGUAAUCCAGUAACCAACAAAAACAAAAACUCCAACAACAACUACAGAUUUUUCUUAUUUGACGCGUUGUGUGUGUUCGUUGCCGCAACUAGAAACCAACAACUACAACAACAAAACAAGAAAAAAAAACAAGAAAAAAUAUUCUAUUUCCCCCACGAAAUAUCCGAUCCCCCAAUAAAAUCGAAAUAAAAGAAGUUUGAAGAAGCAAUAAAAGAAGUAGAGGAAGAAGAAAAAAUAAUAAAUAAAUAAAUAAGAAAUACAUAAGCCAUCCGUCAAUCAAGUGGAGUUUUAUGCUAAAUUACAAAAAAAAAAAAAAGAGAGAAGAGAGUGCAAGAGAGUUGCCAAUGUUAAGAGCAAAAGCAGAGUAAACGAAAUUACAGUGUUUUCUUGGUGCCAUUUUAAUACUUUUUUGGUGUAAAUUUUGUCCAAAUCAAAUACAAAAAUUCAAGUGAUUUCAAAAUUGUGAAAAAAAAAAUAUUUAAAUUCUUUGUUCUAAAUAAAAUCUUAAAAAAAUAUUGGGUGAAAUUUGUGAUUUUUUCGCGUGUAGUUUUUGUCGUUUUCUUUUUGCAAAGAGCGCGCCAGUAUUUAGCCGACCAAGAGAGUGACAAAUCUCCCGCAUCUCCCCCGUAACACUCAAUUGUCAUUGCAUACCUAUGCCAUAUGUGAAAAUAAUAACAGCAGCAUAAAGG